rnacentral:piRNA from 1 species
UGAUAUAGCAUGAAAAUAUCUUUUCCUAGA